rnacentral:rRNA from 1 species
GGUGAACGCUAGCGGCAGGCCUAACACAUGCAAGUCGAGGGGUAGCAGGAUUAAGCUUGCUUAAUUGCUGACGACCGGCGCACGGGUGCGUAACGCGUAUGCAACCUACCUUAUACUGGGGUAUAGCCCGGAGAAAUUCGGAUUAAUCCCCCAUAGUACUAAUGAAUCGCAUGGUUUAUUAGGUAAAGCAUUGCGGUAUAAGAUGGGCAUGCGUCCUAUUAGCUAGAUGGUGAGGUAACGGCUCACCAUGGCUACGAUAGGUAGGGGGCCUGAGAGGGUGCUCCCCCACACUGGUACUGAGACACGGACCAGACUCCUACGGGAGGCAGCAGUGAGGAAUAUUGGUCAAUGGGCGCAAGCCUGAACCAGCCAUGCCGCGUGCAGGAAGAAUGCCCUAUGGGUUGUAAACUGCUUUUAUUUGGGAAUAAACCUCUUUACGUGUAGAGAGCUGAAGGUACCAGAUGAAGAAGCCCCGGCUAACUCCGUGCCAGCCGCCGCAGUAA